rnacentral:rRNA from 1 species
UACGAAGGGGGCUAGCGUUGUUCGGAAUUACUGGGCGUAAAGCGCACGUAGGCGGAUAUUUAAGUCAGGGGUGAAAUCCCGGGGCUCAACCCCGGAACUGCCUUUGAUACUGGGUAUCUCGAGUCCGAGAGAGGUGAGUGGAAUUCCGAGUGUAGAGGUGAAAUUCGUAGAUAUUCGCAAGAACACCAGUGGCGAAGGCGGCUCACUGGUCCGGUUCUGACGCUGAGGCGCGAAAGCGUGGGGAGCAAACAGG